rnacentral:rRNA from 1 species
AACGAACGCUGGCGGCAGGCCUAACACAUGCAAGUCGAACGCUGUAGCAAUACAGAGUGGCAGACGGGUGAGUAACACGUGGGAAUCUUCCUAUCGGUACGGAAUAGCUCAGGGAAACUUGGGGUAAUACCGCAUACGCCCUUCGGGGGAAAGAUUUAUCGCCGAUAGAUGAGCCCGCGUCUGAUUAGCUAGUUGGUGAGGUAAUGGCUCACCAAGGCGACGAUCAGUAGCUGGUCUGAGAGGAUGAUCAGCCACACUGGGACUGAGACGCGGCCCAGACUCCUACGGGAGGCAGCAGUGGGGAAUAUUGGACAAUGGGCGCAAGCCUGAUCCAGCCAUGCCGCGUGAGUGACGAAGGUCUUCGGAUUGUAAAGCUCUUUUGCCAGGGACGAUAAUGACGGUACCUGGAGAAUAAGCCCCGGCUAACUUCGUGCCAGCCGCCGCGGUAACAC